GACGAACGCUGGCGGCGUGCUUAACACAUGCAAGUCGAACGGAAAGGCCCUGCUUUUGUGGGGUGCUCGAGUGGCGAACGGGUGAGUAACACGUGAGUAACCUGCCCUUGACUUUGGGAUAACUUCAGGAAACUGGGGCUAAUACCGGAUAGGAGCUCCUGCUGCAUGGUGGGGGUUGGAAAGUUUCGGCGGUUGGGGAUGGACUCGCGGCUUAUCAGCUUGUUGGUGGGGUAGUGGCUUACCAAGGCUUUGACGGGUAGCCGGCCUGAGAGGGUGACCGGCCACAUUGGGACUGAGAUACGGCCCAGACUCCUACGGGAGGCAGCAGUGGGGAAUAUUGCACAAUGGGCGGAAGCCUGAUGCAGCAACGCCGCGUGCGGGAUGACGGCCUUCGGGCUGUAAACCGCUUUCGCCUGUGACGAGGCGUGAGUGACGGUAAUGGGUAAAGAAGCACCGGCUAAUUACGUGCCAGCAGCCGCGGUGAUACGUAGGGUGCGAGCGUUGUCCGGAUUUAUUGGGCGUAAAGGGCUCGUAGGUGGUUGAUCGCGUCGGAAGUGUAAUCUUGGGGCUUAACCCUGAGCGUGCUUUCGAUACGGGUUGACUUGAGGAAGGUAGGGGAGAAUGGAAUUCCUGGUGGAGCGGUGGAAUGCGCAGAUAUCAGGAGGAACACCAGUGGCGAAGGCGGUUCUCUGGGCCUUUCCUGACGCUGAGGAGCGAAAGCGUGGGGAGCGAACAGGCUUAGAUACCCUGGUAGUCCACGCUGUAAACGGUGGGUACUAGGUGUGGGGUCCAUUCCACGGGUUCCGUGCCGUAGCUAACGCUUUAAGUACCCCGCCUGGGGAGUACGGCCGCAAGGCUAAAACUCAAAGGAAUUGACGGGGCCCCGCACAAGCGGCGGAGCAUGCGGAUUAAUUCGAUGCAACGCGUAGAACCUUACCUGGGUUUGACAUGGAUCGGGAGUGCUCAGAGAUGGGUGUGCCUCUUUUGGGGUCGGUUCACAGGUGGUGCAUGGCUGUCGUCAGCUCGUGUCGUGAGAUGUUGGGUUAAGUCCCGCAACGAGCGCAACCCUUGUUCACUGUUGCCAGCACGUUAUGGUGGGGACUCAGUGGAGACCGCCGGGGUCAACUCGGAGGAAGGUGGGGAUGACGUCAAGUCAUCAUGCCCCUUAUGUCCAGGGCUUCACGCAUGCUACAAUGGCUGGUACAGAGAGUGGCGAGCCUGUGAGGGUGAGCGAAUCUCGGAAAGCCGGUCUCAGUUCGGAUUGGGGUCUGCAACUCGACCUCAUGAAGUCGGAGUCGCUAGUAAUCGCAGAUCAGCAACGCUGCGGUGAAUACGUUCCCGGG
rnacentral:rRNA from 1 species